UGCCCUGUACCAUCAAUGACCAGCUGGAGCCCAUGGAGCUCCCCCAGGGGAUGGGUGAGGAGAUGACAGAGAGCUUAUGGGUUAGGGUUAAGGGGAAGGCAGGGAAGGGAGACAGUGUAGUGGGGCGUCUGCUACAGGCCACCCGACCAGGAAGACCAAAUGAAUGAGGUCCUCUAUAAACAGAUAGGAGCAGCUUCAUGUUCAGAAACCAUGGUUCUCAUGGGGGGACUUCAACCACCCCAAUACCUGUUGCAAGGACAACACAGCGGGGCACCAGCAAUCACAGGGGUUCCUGGAAUGUGUUGAUGAUAACUUCCAAAUGGUACAGGAACCUAUGAGAAAAGGUGCUAUGCUGGUCCUUGUCCUCACCAACAAGGAGGGGCUGGUGAACAAUGUGAAGCUCAAGGGCACAAAAUGGUGGAGUUCAAAAUCCUUAGGGCAUCAAAGGUGCACAGCAACCUCACAACUCUGUACUUCAGGAGAGCAGUCUUCAGGUGAUAGGUGGAUGGUUGGACUGGAUGAUCUUAGAGGUCUUUUCCAACCCUGGUGAUUCUGUGAUUCUAUGAUUCAGGGAAGUGCACGGCAGGGUGACAUGGGAUAAAGCCCUGGAGGGAACAGGGGUCCAAGAAAGCUGGUCAGUAUUCAAGGACCUUCUCCUCCAAGCCUAGAAGCCAUGCAUCCUGAGAAAGAGGAAGAUAUGAGGACAAAUUUACAACCUGUGAAAGAAAGGCACUACAAAGGGACCUGGACAGACUGCAUCAACGGGCCAAGUCCUGUACUCCUGAAAAGGAUAAAGGAGCUAAGAGACAGCAAAAACUUUGGAAUCAAUGGAGCUGGACCAGCAUUCACAAAAACAACUAAACAUACACUUUUCCUGUACUGCAUCACAACAGAAUGAAAUCCAGGAUUUUCCCUGCUGCUAGUAAGUGCAAGAAGAACAGAUGCCAGGAGCAGCAGACUCUGUGUCUGGAGACAAGUGGCUCUGUGCUGUAUUUGCCCCCUGUGCCCUUCACUGAAUACCAAAAGCAAACACCAAUCACUGAAACCGCUUGCAGCAAGGACAUUCCUGCCUGGUUACUGCUGCUGAAGCGUGACAUCCUCCUGGCAGGUACAGGACAGGUCUACUGCAGAAAGCUCUUCCCUCCAAAGAGCCUCCCCUUGGACUCACCAUGGCAACACUGCUGCAUGCUCCUGGUGGCGGCCUCCCUCCUCACACGAAUCCAGCCAAAGAGCCACGUUUCUGUUUUGCACUUGCCAUCACAAAUUUCACAGGCCUCUUCUCUUUGAAGAGCAUUCUCUACCACAGCAUCCAGGAGCCUGCACAUAUCAUGCCACCACAGCCUUUAACAAAAGAGCUUCAGAAGUGCUCUGCCGAUAGAGCCAUCGAGCGCUGGUGUGAACAAGAUUGGAGAGACCUGACCUGGAAAGGAGGCCACAGGAGAGGCUGCAAGCAGCCUACCAGCUGCACACAGGGACAUCAGGCAGCUUCAAAAGCAGCAGUGAGAAGUGAUGCAGGAAGGUCAUUGCUGCACACACGCUCCCUGACCCAUAAAGCAUGCUUCAUAAACACUUUGCUUCCUGUGUUAAGUCACUGUACAAAGCCAGUGCAAAGUUUGACUGCUUAUCCUUCCACCAUCUGACCUUGUUUGCAACAGAACUUACAUUUCAAGAUCCCCUUUUUAACUUCAGGAAUGCCAAACCUGUUCAACUACAGACUCCAACCUCUUCUCCCAAGAUUUUUCCCCAGCCUUUGGAAAUAACAGAAGAGUGCUCCAUAUGCCUUGCACACUCACUCUUUCUCAAGGAAAGACUCCUGGUCCGAGCACACAGCACUCACAACUAAUGUCAACAGCCUGCAUGACCCUACAAAGAUGCUGGACUUUCCAUGACUGAGCUGUGCCACCAGGUAUUCCUCAUGGUGGCCCUUCAGGGGUCAGGGCAGAGACGGUCACCAACCUGCAUACUAAGGCAACACUUCAGCUUUCUCCAGUGGUGUCAGGCUUCCCCGAUACAAAGGAGAUGCACAUCCUUUGUAGAACUGAGAGGACAGGUUUUUAACUGCUGGCUCCUCCUUGCCUCUUGAGUGAGGUCAAGGACAAUGAUACUCACCUUGAAAACCAAGAAAUGCUCUUCGCAGCAUGAACACUCUGCAGGUUCUGAGCUCUACACAUCCACAGUUUACCAGUAACUGUCUUGCUUUUAAAGAGCAGAUUUUUUCAGCUGAUAAAGUUCCAGGCCCAGCUUGGGGAGGGUCCAAGGUAAACACAUUUACAACCCACCCUUCCCAGAAUGCUGGGAACAUCAUUCUUUCAAAGCUUUUAAUAAUUUUAUCCAGAAAUCACAUCCUUCUGUGGAAGAGGGCUUGUUUUCAUUGGUCCCUUCAUGAAAGGGACAAGUGUCAUUAUACAUUUCCAGAUAGUGUUGUCAACUUCCAAAGGAUGAUAGCAACUGAUCUCAAAGCACUACUGGUGUCAUAACCAAGUUCCUGUACCAUAAGUCAAAAUCAACAGCCUGGUACCUGAAGCACAUUGCUUUCUCUUCAGGAGAACUGCAGGAAUUCCAGGCUUACGAAACAGCCAGAUUUUACAAGCUUGGACUUGAUAAAUGUUUAGUUUGAGUAAAAUACCAAUAAUUGAGUUAAGUAAGACUAAAACAUUAGGACUAACUUGUAAUUCCACAAACUAAGCAAAUGUGCAAAAGAUUACAAGCCAGCAACCUGUGCUGGCUGUAAGGAAAUCCUUUCCCUCUUUAAAGUAACAGCACUCCCUAAAUUCCAUCAGCACUCAUGUAAACAUCCUACCAAAUAAGCUUCUCUCUACUGUCGUUAAUUCAUGGUUUAAAUGAAUAAAGCAAUGCCUUUAGGUUUGUAAGGAAAAU